rnacentral:rRNA from 1 species
GAACCAGACUCCUACGGGAGGCAGCAGUGAGGAAUAUUGGUCAAUGGCCGUAAGGCUGAACCAGCCAAGUAGCGUGAGGGAAGACUGCCCUAUGGGUUGUAAACCUCUUUUAUGCGGGGAUAAAGGUGUCCACGUGUGGAUGUUUGCAGGUACCGCAUGAAUAAGGACCGGCUAACUCCGUGCCAGCAGCCGCGGUAAUACGGAGGAUCCGAGUGUUAUCCGGAUUCAUUGGGUUUAAAGGGUGCGUAGGUUGUUUUAUAAGUUAGCGGUGAAAUACCGAUGCUCAACAUCGGGGCUGCCGCUAAUACUGUAGGACUAGAGAUCGGAUGCAGCAGGCGGAAUGUGUAGUGUAGCGGUGAAAUGCAUAGAUAUUACACAGAACACCGAUUGCGAAGGCAGCUUGCUAGGCCGGAUCUGACACUGAUGCACGAAAGCGUGGGGAUCGAACAGGAUUAGAUACCCGAGUA